CAGCUAGCCUGGCUGUGGCUGGUUGUAACACAAUCCACCUACAAGCACCUCUAAAGCUCACCAAUUAACAUGUUAUAUCUUCUUUGUUUAAUCUGUGCGA